UACGUAGGGUGCAAGCCGUUGUCCGGAAUUAUUGGGCGUAAAGAGCUCGUAGGCGGUCUGUCGCGUCGGCUGUGAAAACCCGGGGCUCAACCCCGGGCCUGCAGUCGAUACGGGCAGACUAGAGUGCGGUAGGGGAGACUGGAAUUCCUGGUGGUAGCGGUGAAAUGCGCAGAUAUCAGGAGGAACACCGGUGGCGAAGGCGGGUCUCUGGGCAGUAACUGACGCUGAGGAGCGAAAGCGUGGGGAGCGAACAGG
rnacentral:rRNA from 1 species